rnacentral:rRNA from 1 species
UACGUAGGUGGCAAGCGUUGUCCGGAUUUAUUGGGUUUAAAGGGUGCGUAGGCGGCUUUGUAAGUCAGUGGUGAAAUAUGGCAGCUCAACUGUCAGGGUGCCAUUGAUACUGCAGAGCUUGAGUACAGAUGAGGUAGGCGGAAUUGACGGUGUAGCGGUGAAAUGCUUAGAUAUCGAUCAAGAACACCGAUAGCGAAGGCAGCUUACUGGGCUGUAAACUGACGCUGAGGCACGAAAGUGUGGGGAUCAAACAGGA